UUUUAAAGGAAGAUCAUGCCAAAACAGAGGGUCAUGUGAACAUCUGUCUACCUUUGGUCAUCGACUGCCAUGGUUUUCCAGAGAAAACUGAGGCACAAGGAACAGAAGACUAGAGUAAGACAGCAUUUAGCAAAAUUGGGUACGGAUAUUUAGUUGUGAAGAUCCUACUGUUUACCCUUCAUUCUGAGAUCACCCUUCCAUGAUGCAGGAACUGUUUCCUCACAG
rnacentral:lncRNA from 12 species